rnacentral:misc_RNA from 1 species
AACGCACAUUGCGCCCGCCGGUACUCCGGCGGGCAUGCCUGUCCGAGCGUCAUUGACAACCCUCAGGCCCUGGUGCCUGGUGUUGGGGCACUACACUAUGCUGUAGGCCCUGAAAUCCAGUGGCGGGAUCGCUGAAAACCCGGGCGUAGUAACUUUACGUCGUCCAGGGUGCUCCGGCGGGCCCCAGCCGUUAAACCCACCAAAUUUAUCAUAUUUGGCCUCGGAUCAGGUAGGAUUACCCGCUGAACUUAA